CCUACGGGGAGCAGCAGUGAGGAAUAUUGGUCAAUGGGCGCGAGCCUGAACCAGCCAAGUAGCGUGAAGGAUGACUGCCCUACGGGUUGUAAACUUCUUUUAUAAAGGAAUAAAGUGAGGCCCGUGUGCCUUUUUGUAUGUACUUUAUGAAUAAGGAUUGGCUAACUCCGUGCCAGCAGCCGCUGUAAAACGGAGGAUCCGCGCGUUAUCCGGAUUUAUUGGGGUGAAAGGGAGCGUAGAUGGGUUGUUAAGUCAGGUGUGAAAGUUUGCGGCUCAACCGUAAAAUUGCAAUUGAUACUGGCAGCCUUGAGUACAGUUGAGGUAGGCGGAAUUCGUGGUGUAGCGGUGAAAUGCUUAGAUAUCACGAAGAACUCCGAUUGCGAAGGCAGCUUACUAAACUGCCACUGACAUUGAUGCUCGAAAGUGUGGGUAUCAAACAGGAUUAGAUACCCUAGUAGUC
rnacentral:rRNA from 1 species